rnacentral:rRNA from 1 species
AAAUUGAAGAGUUUGAUCAUGGCUCAGAUUGAACGCUGGCGGCAGGCCUAACACAUGCAAGUCGAACGGUAACAGGAAGCAGCUUGCUGCUUYGCUGACGAGUGGCGGACGGGUGAGUAAUGUCUGGGAAACUGCCUGAUGGAGGGGGAUAACUACUGGAAACGGUAGCUAAUACCGCAUAACGUCGCAAGACCAAAGAGGGGGACCUUCGGGCCUCUUGCCAUCGGAUGUGCCCAGAUGGGAUUAGCUAGUAGGUGGGGUAACGGCUCACCUAGGCGACGAUCCCUAGCUGGUCUGAGAGGAUGACCAGCCACACUGGAACUGAGACACGGUCCAGACUCCUACGGGAGGCAGCAGUGGGGAAUAUUGCACAAUGGGCGCAAGCCUGAUGCAGCCAUGCCGCGUGUAUGAAGAAGGCCUUCGGGUUGUAAAGUACUUUCAGCGGGGAGGAAGGUGUUGAGGUUAAUAACCUCAGCAAUUGACGUUACCCGCAGAAGAAGCACCGGCUAACUCCGUGCCAGCAGCCGCGGUAAUACGGAGGGUGCAAGCGUUAAUCGGAAUUACUGGGCGUAAAGCGCACGCAGGCGGUCUGUCAAGUCGGAUGUGAAAUCCCCGGGCUCAACCUGGGAACUGCAUUCGAAACUGGCAGGCUAGAGUCUUGUAGAGGGGGGUAGAAUUCCAGGUGUAGCGGUGAAAUGCGUAGAGAUCUGGAGGAAUACCGGUGGCGAAGGCGGCCCCCUGGACAAAGACUGACGCUCAGGUGCGAAAGCG